AUUGAAUUCACAUUACAUCUAUCAACACAGAACUUUAGAAAGGUUACAUUUUUGAAUGAACUGCAGCAGUGGAAGGAUGCCUGCCGAGGUGUUUUGGUUCAUGCAACAAUUGAUCUUAAAUCCUAUGGAUCCGACGCUUUCGUCUGACUGCAGGU